CCUACGGGAGGCAGCAGUAGGGAAUAUUGCUCAAUGGGGGAAACCCUGAAGCAGCAACGCCGCGUGGAGGAUGAAGGUUUUCUGAUUGUAAACUCCUUUUGUUAGAGAAGAUAAUUACGGUAUCUAACGAAUAAGCCCCGGCCAACUCCGUUCCAGCAGCCGCGGUCAUACGGGGGGUGCAAGCGUUACUCGGAAUCACUGGGCGGAAAGAGCGCGGAGGCGGGAGAGGAAGUCAGAUGUGAAAUCCUAUGGCCUAACCAUAGAACUGCAUUUAAAACUGUUGUUCUAGAGUAUGGGAGAGGUAGGUGGAAUUCUUGGUGUAGGGGUAAAAUCCGUAGAGAUCAAGAGGAAUACUCAUUGCGAAGGCGACCUGCUAGAACAUAACUGACGCUGAGGCGCGAAAGCGUGGGGAGCAAACAGGAUUAGAUACCCUAGUAGUC
rnacentral:rRNA from 1 species